rnacentral:rRNA from 1 species
GCGCAGCUACACUGCAGUCGAGCGGGGAAGUAGCUGCUACGACCAGCGGCGGACGGGUGAGUAUGCUUAGGAAUCUGCCUAUUAGUGGGGACAACAUCUCGAAAGGGAUGCUAAUACCGCAUACGUCUACGGAGAAAGCAGGGGAUCUUCGGACCUGCGCUAUAGAUGAGCUAAGUCGGAUAGCUAGUUGGUGGGGUAAAGGCCUACCAAGGCGACGAUCUGUAGCGGGUCUGAGAGGAUGAUCCGCCACACUGGGACUGAGACACGGCCCAGACUCCUACGGGAGGCAGCAGUGGGGAAUAUUGGACAAUGGGCGCAAGCCUGAUCCAGCCAUGCCGCGUGUGUGAAGAAGGCCUUAUGGUUGUAAAGCACUUUAAGCGAGGAGGAGGCUACUUUAGAUAAUACCUAGAGAUAGUGGACGUUACUCGCAGAAUAAGCACCGGCUAACUCUGUGCCAGCAGCCGCGGUAAUACAGAGGGUGCAAGCGUUAAUCGGAUUUACUGGGCGUAAAGCGCGCGUAGGCGGCUAAUUAAGUCAAAUGUGAAAUCCCCGAGCUUAACUUGGGAAUUGCAUUCGAUACUGGUUAGCUAGAGUGUGGGAGAGGAUGGUAGAAUUCCAGGUGUAGCGGUGAAAUGCGUAGAGAUCUGGAGGAAUACCGAUGGCGAAGGCAGCCAUCUGGCCUAACACUGACGCUGAGGUGCGAAAGCAUGGGGAGCAAACAGGAUUAGAUACCCUGGUAGUCCAUGCCGUAAACGAUGUCUACUAGCCGUUGGGGCCUUUGAGGCUUUAGUGGCGCAGCUAACGCGAUAAGUAGACCGCCUGGGGAGUACGGUCGCAAGACUAAAACUCAAAUGAAUUGACGGGGGCCCGCACAAGCGGUGGAGCAUGUGGUUUAAUUCGAUGCAACGCGAAGAACCUUACCUGGCCUUGACAUACUAGAAACUUUCCAGAGAUGGAUUGGUGCCUUCGGGAAUCUAG